GAGUUUGAUCGUGGCUCAGAGUGAACGCUGGCGGCAGGCCUAACACAUGCAAGUCGAGCGGCAGCACGGGUAGCAAUACCUGGUGGCGAGCGGCGGACGGGUGAGGAAUACAUCGGAAUCUGCCUCGUCGUGGGGGGAUAACGUAGGGAAACUUACGCUAAUACCGCAUACGACCGAGAGGUGAAAGCGGGGGAUCGCAAGACCUCGCGCGAUGAGAUGAGCCGAUGUCGGAUUAGCUAGUUGGCGGGGUAAAGGCCCACCAAGGCGACGAUCCGUAGCUGGUCUGAGAGGAUGAUCAGCCACACUGGAACUGAGACACGGUCCAGACUCCUACGGGAGGCAGCAGUGGGGAAUAUUGGACAAUGGGGGCAACCCUGAUCCAGCAAUGCCGCGUGAGUGAUGAAGGCC
rnacentral:rRNA from 1 species